UAUUUGCAAGACGACGACAGCUGUUGC
rnacentral:piRNA from 1 species